rnacentral:lncRNA from 1 species
CGACAUAUUUCGGCCAAAAAUUGAGUGCUCACUCGUCACAAAUCAGUACAGUACUGCAUAUCACACGUCGACUGCCGUCUGCACUUCGCCUUGGUACGUUGAUAUCUGAUGAAUUAUGAAGGCGGAGCUUUAAUUUGAAACAAUACUUGACUUGUCACCCGUGUGACCUCACAUGAUCAUAGAUUAUAGGCAGAAAGUAAUAAUGCAUUUGUCAGAUUAAUCUGCUUGUAUUACAUCAUCUGGGUAUCGUUUUUGUAUCAAUCAUUCCCAACCGAAUCUUAGUCUCAUGCUAUAGACAUAUAAAGCUAACAUAAAAAAUCAGGGAACGAAUCGCGUAACGUGUAUGGAUUCCUAAAAUCUAGGGUGCGACAGGGUUAAUUGUAUCCUAAAUUCAGUAAAUUGUAUUGCGUUGCAUGGUUCAUCACUUCAUUGAUUUCAUCUCAUCCUACUAUAAACAAAGCCAAUUGCUGUAUUCAUUUGAUGUAUUUCAGAGUUAAGUGCUAUAUACAAACUUGAGAACUAUAUAAUCAUCUAGGUUGAACCUACAUCCCAGAACCACCCUUGGCACCCUGUUCUCUUCCCAAUUUAUUUAUUUUCCUGUUUUACACCAAGUCUAACACCUCAUACUCAGAUACAAAUUAUUAUAACAUCAUACGAACAUUUUACACCAAAAGACUACAUGCUGGUAUUUACAUUUUGUAUCACAAAUUUAAGUAGAAAAUUAAACAUCAAAAUCAUAAUACAAUAAAGGUGUGAUGUUCAGUUAAAAAAAACUAUUUAUUUAUUUAUUUAUUUCUAACAUAGGACUUACCAAAAUUUAAUUUUCAUUGAAUAAUUUUCUAAGCACCGAAAAUCACAGUAAUCUAUAUCUACAGGAUAACAACUUAGAAACCCUAGAUACUAUUUACUGCUGGGGCACCCAAGUAUCAAACAUCACAGGUACUUGGUAAAAUUUUCAGUCUGUUCUUUCCCUUGAUUUUGUACAAGAUACACCAAAGUUCACAUAAUUAUACUGGUUAGAUCCUACAUUCUUAGUGUCAGUUUUCCUAAAACUACUGCUGCUCCUACUUGUAUCUAAUUUCCUAUGCUCUACAGAUGUAUACUCAGGAUUGAAAAGAAAAGCACCUUCUCUCCUUUCAAGAUCCAGAGGUCGGCCCCUGUACAAAAGACCAUCUUUCUGUAUUCUUGGACUGGCGGGAGGUGGCCGCAGCACAGCUGUAUCUGGUAAAACUGAGUCGUGCG